CCUCUUGCUCAUUCUUUUCCUUCACUGCUUCACAGCGAAACCCUAGCCUCCAUCUUCUUUUGGCUUUUACCAGACGCUUUCCUUUCCUAAAACCUGAACUAUCAUACGCCUCUUCUUCUUCUACCUGCAUCUCAUUCUCUCUGAAUCGGUUGUGCUUGAACGGCUUAACAAAGGAUUCCAAAAUCAAGGUUAUUCACUUACAGAUUCAUCCAGAUAAGAUCCAGGUAAAACAAAAUGCAAUUGGGAAGCUAUCUGAACUGAAGCCAACUGGAUUGAUGUGUUUGUACAACAACUACCAACUGUGAUGAUGAUUUGGGUAUUAAGUGGUUUCUUCCUGGUUGCUAUACACAGGUACGUUGGAAUCUUCACAGCCCACGCGUAUUUCGUAAACCCUAGCUAUCAAAAUCAUCUUCCUUCUUGACUAUUCUACGAUCCAGACGCAAUCAGAUGCAGUCUUUUCAAGUGCAGUUUGUAUGUCUCGCAACGUCAGUUAUCCUGUUCGACUUGGAUUUAGACGAACUUCAAUAGUCAUUAUCCCCUCGCUAUGAAGCACGGGGACGGCUUGGAGCAUCGCGUACCCGUUCCGGGGACGGUUUGGGGACAGAAACGCCAUGGGGACGUCCCCCGAACGUUUCUGUGUAUCUGGGGACGCCAUCGAAACGCUUCCGGGAAAUUGGGGACGGCAGUUUGACGUUUCGGGGACGUUUCCUUAAUAUAUUUAGGCAAUGAUGGAUUUAUGUACAAAGGAGUACGUGGCCAACCAGAGUUUAUAUUAAAUAUGGGAUGAUCGGAAAAUUUUCCGGCUGACCGUUGAAUAGAUUGAGUGGCGGCAAUGAAGAAGAUAACUGAUGGUAGUGGCCUUUCAUCAUUGUUUUUGUAGGGUUUUUAAUAAUUUUUUGUCAUUUUGUCACUUCACACCCUUUGGUUUUCUUUUAUAAUACUUUUAGCACUAAUUUUUAAGAAAGAGUUCAUUAAAAAGUUUGUUUUUUUUCAUUUAACCCCUCUAUUUUAACGAGUUUACAUUUGGUCCAUAUUCUUUUAAGUUUAUAAAAAUAGCACAAAGUUUAAGAUUGUACCACAUUAUAUGGACUUUGUUUAAUAUAUUUUUAUUUUUUUAUAUGUUUUUUCCAUACCUUUGCCGUACCCGUAUCUUGGAUUUUUUAGUUUUGCCGUUGACGGGUGGUCCUUGGGACAACCCUUAAGCAUGUUAAGAUAUGAAAUAAUCCUCCAUUUAACCGCGUAAUUAUCUUGAAUUAGAUAACUACGAUGCUUAUGUUUCAGGUGCGAAUUAGGAGAUAAGAGAUGGAUAAAAGGCAGCUCAUGGAUGCUUUGGUGGAAAACGGGUUGAGAGAAGAACACAAGACAAAACAUAGGAGUCAAGGAUGCUGAGUACCGUAAAUUACGGUUCUACCGUAAUUUACGGUAGACUUGAUUUGUGUUGAUUCCUGCACCGUAACACAGGCUCAAUUCACCGUAACAAUCUGAUAGCCACCGUAAAUUACGGUGGAGCCGUAAUUUACGGUGGUGCCUGAACGUGAAAUGUGUAACUGCCACAAUAUACUCGUUUUUUGGUGUGUCUUUUGGUAUUAUCUCAUCAUUGACGGUUCUUGGAGACUUUGGGAGCGAAUUUGGAGUACUUGCUUGGUUUGUGAACGAUUCUAAACAUUCGGUUUGUGUUUUUAA